GACGGAGGAUGCAAGCGUUAUCCGGAAUGAUUGGGCGUAAAGCGUCCGCAGGUGGCAGUUCAAGUCUGCUGUCAAAGACCGGGGCUUAACUUCGGAAAGGCAGUGGAAACUGAACAGCUAGAGUAUGGUAGGGGCAGAGGGAAUUCCUGGUGUAGCGGUGAAAUGCGUAGAGAUCAGGAAGAACAUCGGUGGCGAAGGCGGGUUGCUGGGCUGACACUGACGCUGAGGCGCGAAAGCCAGGGGAGCGAACGGG
rnacentral:rRNA from 1 species